rnacentral:misc_RNA from 1 species
GAUGAAGAACGUAGCGAAAUGCGAAAAGUAAUGUGAAUUGCAGAAUUCAGUGAAUCAUCGAAUCUUUGAACGCACAUUGCGCCCCCUGGUAUUCCGGGGGGCAUGCCUGUUCGAGCGUCAUUUCACCACUCAAGCCUCGCUUGGUAUUGGGCAACGCGGUCCGCCGCGUGCCUCAAAUCGACCGGCUGGGUCUUCUGUCCCCUAAGCGUUGUGGAAACUAUUCGCUAAAGGGUGUUCGGGAGGCUACGCCGUAAAACAACCCCAUUUCUAAGGUUGACCUCGGAUCAGGUAGGGAUACCCGCUGAACUUAAGCAUAUCAAUAAGCGGAGGA